rnacentral:rRNA from 1 species
AUUGAACGCUGGCGGCAGGCCUAACACAUGCAAGUCGAGCGGUAACAGGAAUCAGCUUGCUGAUUCGCUGACGAGCGGCGGACGGGUGGGUAAUGUCUGGGAAACUGCCUGAUGGAGGGGGAUAACUACUGGAAACGGUAGCUAAUACCGCAUAACGUCUUCGGACCAAAGUGGGGGACCUUCGGGCCUCAUGCCAUCAGAUGUGCCCAGAUGGGAUUAGCUAGUAGGUGAGGUAACGGCUCACCUAGGCGACGAUCCCUAGCUGGUCUGAGAGGGUGACCAGCCACACUGGAACUGAGACACGGUCCAGACUCCUACGGGAGGCAGCAGUGGGGAAUAUUGCACAAUGGGCGCAAGCCUGAUGCAGCCAUGCCGCGUGUAUGAAGAAGGCCUUCGGGUUGUAAAGUACUUUCAGCGGGGAGGAAGGUGUUGUGGUUAAUAACCAGAGCAAUUGACGUUACCCGCAGAAGAAGCACCGGCUAACUCCGUGCCAGCAGCCGCGGUAAUAC